rnacentral:sRNA from 1 species
GCCGGGCGUGCUGGCGCGUGCCUGUAAUUCCAGCUACUUAGGAGGCUGAGACAGGAGAAUUGCUUGAACCCAGGAGGCGGGGGUUGCAGUAAGCAGAGGUCAUGCCACUGCACUCCAGCCUGGGCGACAGAGCAGGACUCUGUCUCGA